UACGUAGGGAGCGAGCGUUGUCCGGAUUCAUUGGGCGUAAAGAGCUCGUAGGCGGCUUGGCAAGUCGGGUGUGAAAACUCCAGGCUCAACCUGGAGACGCCACCCGAUACUGCCAUGGCUAGAGUGUGUCAGAGGGGGGUAGAAUUCCACGUGUAGCAGUGAAAUGCGUAGAUAUGUGGAGGAAUACCGAUGGCGAAGGCAGCCCCCUGGGAUAACACUGACGCUCAUGCACGAAAGCGUGGGGAGCAAACAGG
rnacentral:rRNA from 1 species